GUGCCCAUUUUGGCAGCACACAUACUAAAAUUGGAAAGAUACAGAGAAGAUUAGCAUGCCCCUGUGCAAGGAUGACAAGCAAAAGUGAGAAAUUAUUUU
rnacentral:snRNA from 1 species